GAUGUCGACUUGGAGGUUGUGCCCUUGAGGCGUGGCUUCCGGAGCUAACGCGUUAAGUCGACCGCCUGGGGAGUACGGCCGCAAGGUUAAAACUCAAAUGAAUUGACGGGGGCCCGCACAAGCGGUGGAGCAUGUGGUUUAAUUCGAUGCAACGCGAAGAACCUUACCUGGUCUUGACAUCCACAGAACAUUCCAGAGAUGGGAUGGUGCCUUCGGGAACUGUGAGACAGGUGCUGCAUGGCUGUCGUCAGCUCGUGUUGUGAAAUGUUGGGUUAAGUCCCGCAACGAGCGCAACCCUUAUCCUUUGUUGCCAGCGGUCCGGCCGGGAACUCAAAGGAGACUGCCAGUGAUAAACUGGAGGAAGGUGGGGAUGACGUCAAGUCAUCAUGGCCCUUACGACCAGGGCUACACACGUGCUACAAUGGCGCAUACAAAGAGAAGCGACCUCGCGAGAGCAAGCGGACCUCAUAAAGUGCGUCGUAGUCCGGAUUGGAGUCUGCAACUCGACUCCAUGAAGUCGGAAUCGCUAGUAAUCAUGGAUCAGAAUGCCACGGUGAAUACGUUCCCGGGCCUUGUACACACCGCCCGUCACACCAUGGGAGUGGGUUGCAAAAGAAGUAGGUAGCUUAACCUUCGGGAGGGCGCUUACCACUUUGUGAUUCAUGACUGGGGUGAAGUCGUAACAA
rnacentral:rRNA from 1 species